rnacentral:rRNA from 1 species
AGAAUCAACGCUGGCGGCGUGCCUAACACAUGCAAGUCGAACGAGAAAGUGGAGCAAUCCAUGAGUAAAGUGGCGACCGGGUGAGUAACACGUGACUAACCUACCUUCAAGUGGGGGAUAACCUCGGGAAACCGGGCUAAUACCGCAUAACAUCUUUGGAGUGGAAAUUCUGGAGAUCAAAGGAGCAAUUCGCUGGAAGAGGGGGUCGCGGCUGAUUAACUAGUUGGCGGGUAAUGGCCCACAAGGCUUUGAUCGGUA